rnacentral:rRNA from 1 species
GUGGGUAACCUGCCUGUAAGACUGGGAUAACUCCGGGAAACCGGGGCUAAUACCGGAUAGGUCUUUUCCUCGCAUGAGGAAGAGUGGAAAGGUGGCUU